GAUGAACGCUGGCGGCGUGCCUAAUACAUGCAAGUCGAGCGAACAGAUGAGGAGCUUGCUCCUCUGACGUUAGCGGCGGACGGGUGAGUAACACGUGGAUAACCUACCUAUAAGACUGGGAUAACUUCGGGAAACCGGAGCUAAUACCGGAUAAUAUAUUGAACCGCAUGGUUCAAUAGUGAAAGACGGUUUUGCUGUCACUUAUAGAUGGAUCCGCGCCGCAUUAGCUAGUUGGUAAGGUAACGGCUUACCAAGGCAACGAUGCGUAGCCGACCUGAGAGGGUGAUCGGCCACACUGGAACUGAGACACGGUCCAGACUCCUACGGGAGGCAGCAGUAGGGAAUCUUCCGCAAUGGGAGAAAGCCUGACGGAGCAACGCCGCGUGAGUGAUGAAGGUCUUCGGAUCGUAAAACUCUGCUAUUAGGGAAGAACAAAUGUGUAAGUAACUAUGCACGUCUUGACGGUACCUAAUCAGAAAGCCACGGCUAACUACGUG
rnacentral:rRNA from 1 species